rnacentral:tRNA from 1 species
GCCUCCUUGAUGGAAAUGGUAGACAUAACGGACUUAAAAUCCGUGGCCGUUAAAGGUGUGCUGGUUCAAGUCCAGCAGGAGGCACCA